rnacentral:rRNA from 1 species
CAAAUUGAGAGUUUGAUCCUGGCUCAGGACGAACGCUGGCGGCGUGCCUAAUACAUGCAAGUCGAGCGAGCUGAAUUCAAAGAUUCCUUGGGAUGAUUUGUUGGAUGCUAGCGGCGGAUGGGUGAGUAACACGUGGGCAAUCUGCCCUAAAGACUGGGAUACCACUUGGAAACAGGUGCUAAUACCGGAUAACAACAUGAAUCGCAUGAUUCAAGUUUGAAAGGCGGCGUAAGCUGUCACUUUAGGAUGAGCCCGCGGCGCAUUUAGCUAGUUGGUGGGGUAAAGGCCUACCAAGGCGAUGAUGCGUAGCCGAGUUGAGAGACUGAUCGGCCACAUUGGGACUGAGACACGGCCCAAACUCCUACGGGAGGCAGCAGUAGGGAAUCUUCCACAAUGGACGCAAGUCUGAUGGAGCAACGCCGCGUGAGUGA